GAAAUAAGACGCCGUCCCUGCCCUCGGGAACUCCCGGCGCAUCUGCCCCAACAACUCACUGAAGCCGCCUGCAGGACGCCUGAGUGAGGACAAGGUGUCUCACUCAGAAAAUUUGCUUGAUUCUUCCUGGCAAGUGGGACAGGGUGAGCUGUCUGCUGGGACUGAGCGCUUUUCCGCACUCCACUCCCGGAAAUCACACCUCCGCAUGUGAGAUGACAUUCUGGGCCAGUAAGAGCUCGUUCUUCAGGAUGCCUCCAGCCACUGCGCACAACACGCACCCAGGGUUUUCCUUGAAUUUAUGUGGAAUCCAUUUUCUGGGUUCUUUCCUGCUGCCAAGUUCUAUUUCAGGAUCAUGGCUCAGACAAGAAACAGCUACCGUGUACCUCAAAUUCAGCUGUGUGGGGUUUGAAUCGUGCACCACUCUGGUUAUGUACCAGCAGCAUCAAUGCAUGGCCAUCUGGCUGCUGUGAGACAACCCCUUCCCAAGAGUAGUUACCACUCCAUGUACUCGCUGAAUGCCUUGUU
rnacentral:lncRNA from 1 species